ACGCACGCUGGCGGCGUGCUUAACACCUGCCAGUCGAACGGAAAGGCCCUGCUUUUGUGGGGUGCUCGAGUGGCGAACGGGUGAGUAACACGUGAGUAACCUGCCCUUGACUUUGGGAUAACUUCAGGAAACUGGGGCUAAUACCGGAUAGGAGCUCCUGCUGCAUGGUGGGGGUUGGAAAGUUUCGGCGGUUGGGGAUGGACUCGCGGCUUAUCAGCUUGUUGGUGGGGUAGUGGCUUACCAAGGCUUUGACGGGUAGCCGGCCUGAGAGGGUGACCGGCCACAUUGGGACUGAGAUACGGCCCAGACUCCUACGGGAGGCAGCAGUGGGGAAUAUUGCACAAUGGGCGGAAGCCUGAUGCAGCAACGCCGCGUGCGGGAUGACGGCCUUCGGGUUGUAAACCGCUUUCGCCUGUGACGAAGCGUGGGUGACGGUAAUGGGUAAAGAAGCACCGGCUAACUACGUG
rnacentral:rRNA from 1 species